GCCUUCGUGGUGUAAUGGUUAGCACACUUUGCGUGUAUUUGAGAGUUCCGUGGUUCGAGUCCUGGCGAGGGCA
rnacentral:tRNA from 1 species